ensembl:lncRNA
CUGUGUCACAACAGGUGACUGUAGUGUUUUUGGUGGUCAGAUUUCAAGUACACGUCAGCGCGACAGAAGCGUAUGAUUUUCGGAAAUAAAGCGUGAGAGAUCUCACGUCGCUUGUGGUCGUUUAAAUGGACCUAAUGGACAGUCCUCUGAACCGCGCCCAUCUGUGCGGCAGAAAGGCAAACCGGUUGGUAGCGCAAGAGAAUUACAAGGAGGCAAUUUUAUGCCAUGGAGAGGCAGCAGAUCUGCUGAAAGUUGCCUUAUUGAUGACACAAAAUGAGCAGGUAGGGCAUUUUACCAUGACACCUGUUAUAACAUUGUAGUAAUGGAGUAACCUUUUACAACAAAGGCUCCAACAUAAUGAGUGAAGACACUUCCAAGCAGGAGUGCUGCAUGACACCAUUAAACAGUUUACGCCCCACCAUGCUCUGUGGAAUAAAUCAAAAGUGCUGAACAGGCUCAACUGAU